GUGCUCACUUCAGCAGCACAUAUACAAAAAUCAGAAUGAUACAGAGCAGAUGAGCAUGGCCCCCCCACACAAGGAUGACACGCAAAUUCGUGAGGUGUUCCACGUUUUU